rnacentral:lncRNA from 1 species
UAAAAGAUAUACCAUCCCUAUAAAGCUUUUAAUGGAGGAAAUGACUUCAUCAGGCUCAAGUCAAGAGAUAUUGCCGUGGAAAUGUCAAUUCCCCAAGCCAAGAAGACCCUGUUUCCCAGAAGCUGCUUCUACAGACUCUAGAAUAUAGAUGAGCCUGGCCCAAUCACACACUAUAUCUUGACCCAGCGGAUUUGCAGCAUACCUGCAUUGGAGGUAAAUCGAUUG